rnacentral:lncRNA from 1 species
CCAGUUCUCCUGACCCAACAGGAGUGCAUGUUCCCGAUUACCUCCCAGGACCACUGGCCCUCACGGUGGCUGGAAACCCUGGCGGGGAGGCCUGCGCCUCCUCAAGCUCCAGUCCCUCUGGAUGGGGCACCAAGAGGCACCCUGAGAACUCAGAGGACCCAGAGGCUCCCCUCAAGCAAAUUCCCUGCUGACCCUGGAAACCCCUUGAAGGAGGGGACAAGAGGUUGCCACAAGGCUCAUCUUAUAACUCCCAGCAAGGACUCUCAGCAAACAAGAGACCCACAUCACUCAGUUCCCAGGACACCUGGUGGGAGAGUCUGGUGAGAUUCCGAGGCAGACUUCCUCUACUCACAACCUGUUUGAAAAUGGACAUAAAGAGGAGAACAGACACUCCAUCGCCCCUUCAGGGCCUCCUUCGUGUCACAAAACCUAUCCCCUCCUAGGGCACCCUUGACAUUCCCCUAGGUGGGCCUACACAUUGUUCAGAACCUGUCCCCUGUACCAAAAUAAAUAUAAAUGAGUUUGUUUCUUUAAAAGAAAUAUUACAGCUUUAAACUUUUCCCAGCCGGAAUCCACCUAAUUUCAUCAAGAUCUCUUGCUAGCAGCCAUAACCCAGGCCCAAAGGGCUUGUCCCUAGGGAGGCACCAAAGGGAGAAUACCCCAGGCCCAUUUCAUUCCACUGAGGUUUUUGAACCCUUAGGUGUCUAAGGUAAUACCACCACCAUCCCCACCUGUUUUCAGUUCUUUCUUUGUGGCUUAAGAUUGCAUUUUAGGAGGGUUUAUGUAAUGUUGUUCACGUCAGCAAGUCUCCCUGCCCCACCCUCACCCCACUGUCCUAUAUGGAAUUAUAGUUGGAAACCACACACACAUAGAAAAUCUUUGAAGAUUUUUUUCUGCUAUUCUUCCUGACUAGAAGAGUUGACAAGACAUAGACACAUUCAGUUGCAUAAAAUACAGUAGCGUGAUCAGCCUAAAUGCAUCUCAUUUGCACUGUUUGUAACCAGGGGUGGGGGCUUGUGUCACUCAUUGCCUCCCCCUCCUCUGCCCAAACCAGACCCGCCAGCUGGAAUUUCAGAGCAGGCCCCAAGGCAGCAGCCAUUUGGGAAGUGGAAGGCCUAGCCCACCCCAGUCCAGCAGGGGUUGGGGGUGGAUAGAGAAGGUGUCUGGAGGUCUGGCCUGAAGGCUUGGACCAACUUUGGCAGACCUGGGCUCUGGGAGGCUUGGCCGGUGGGUGCCCGCAGCUGGAAGCUGGAGGUCUGCAGCGAUGCUUCUGAGCUUCUCCUGAGUUGAGUUCAAGAAAGGGGACACCAAGAAGUAGGGGAACAGUCACUGACUAUAUUUUACAUCCACGCCUACCCCUUUCCCAGAGUUGUGUUCUCACCACCCACUUUGUCGGCGGAGGAGAAACACUGCUGCCUGAUGGGUUCUUGCACCUGCUCCUAGCCCUGAACUCGGGCCCUGAGCUCCUCACUGCCGCCCGCUCUGCGCUGAGCCCCACUCCUGAGACCGCGAGGUGCCAGAGCAGCGCCUCUCCCACCAACUCCUAGACGCCUGUAGGAGCUGCGCCGGAGCCUUCAGAACCCCGUGGGGGUGUGGGGGUGAAGUUGGAGGUCAUCCGGCUCCGGCUUCUCGAACGCUCUUCUGAUCGCCCAGCGGGGAGACUUCAGGGACUGCCUCGUCAGGCCAGAUUGCAGCCCGCGACCUUCCCGGAUCAACCAAGGGCGAGGCCUGUUGCCCAGCAAGGCUGCCGCCUAACUGAGCCUCCCGGGGAACAGCCAUGACCAAAGCCCCGCGGGCCCAGGCGCGGGCACCUACCCCUACCCGCUCAGGCCUGUGGGAGCGCAGGGGCAGAGGCCGAGACGCUGGACUUCCAGCCCCACACCUCUGACAACCCGGGCACGUCUGCGGAGCCCGGGGGAACAAUCAGCGGGCUCUGCGUCCCGGGAGCUGGGGACACGCCUGCAAGGUGUGUGAUCCUUUAAAGAUCCUUAGUACUAGUUUUGUAGGGAGCCUUUGUUAUAGCUUUGUCAGCCUGCGCGCCUUCAGCAGCUCCCCCUCCCGGGCCCCUCGGUUCCCUCCGGGCUCGCCCCCAGCGGAGAGGGCCUGGCGCAGGGGAUCUGCCCAGGAUCAACUGCCCUCUUCCAGAUCCCCUUCUGCGAGAUUCUUUUCCUUUGGUUACAAUCUCCCCUCCGUGCCUGGGGCAGAUAAACACGGUUCGCCCCGCCUGCAGUAUUGGGGCGAUGCUGUCCUGGAAGAACGGGCUUUCUGAAUGUGACCUCGGGAUGCUGCAGCGGCGCAAUGCUGCUACUGCUGAAUGAGUAGCUCUCCUGCCACCGCAGGGCGACUGCGGUGGGCACAGCAGGGCGCACAGAGGAGGGGGUAAUCUGCCCGCCCAGGCUAAGGAUUUGAGGGUUCUGACAAAAAAGAGCUGGUUGAGGAUGACACAGUUGUGAACUAACCUGGCUCCUACUACCCCACAAGGCAACCAGGUCCCAGUAGUCUUGGGUACCACUGCCCCCACCAUACCACCAUUGUAAAGUAUGGACUCCUGCUUAGCCAAGGUGCAGCUCUAGGCAGGAUCUCUGAAGGAUGCUCUGACACACAGAUGGUGCAGGUAUGACUUUACCUGCACACAAGCUUACAUGUGCCCUGUCAUAUAUGGCUACACGUUUCCCCAUUUCCCCACAGUCUUCCUAUUUAACUUGUCUUCAUUCCUCCUUUCUAGGGCUUUCUGCCUGCACACAGUCAUUUGGAGAAAAUCAAGUGAGUGCACUUCUCCCCACAGAGGAUUCUGUAUGUUAUGUAACACACUCACACUGGGAUUCCUCAAGUUACCAUUUUGCCCCAACUCAGCCAGC